rnacentral:misc_RNA from 1 species
UUUCACCAGACUAUGAAAUACUCUUAUAUUUGGAAGAAAAGUCUGAAAUGAUCAAUUAUCAAUAUCAGAUAUACUUCUUGCAAAGCAGAGACAGUUAUAGUCAAUCAUAGCAUGCAUAUUAAAGAAGGUUCAAUCCCUUGUAUAGAGAUAACAAUCAGCUCUGCUCUGUCUCUCUUACUGUUUAACAGCUCUAUAACUGCCCUAACAGCUCUAUGACUGCUCUAACAGCUUAACAAUUACACCAAUAACAUUAGACUAGUAUCAAUAUAUUUGAAAUAAAUAUAGAUAGAAUUAUCACCGACGUUUUAAGUGAAAAAAUCAUAACAUAUGAUCAUGGCAUGGCCAAGUUAAGGAUGAAUGAGAGUAACCUAAGUGGCCGCGGCCAAGUCCAGUCAAGAACUAGAUCGUGUAGCCACAGUAAUAUGAUAUGAUCAAGUCAAGGUUCUCAAAAUCAUGAACACUUGUAGAGUCACAAAUGCUAUUAAUGGUAUCAACAGGACCAUAGACUAAUGAUGUUACUUUGAUCUACAUAAUCUAACAUUAACUCCAAUUUUAACUAUUUUUUGCCUCCAAACCUAGCAACCCAGAUAGCUUAAAACUUGACAUAUAAAUGAAUCAAACACCAAACCCAGCAAUCCAGACAUUCCAUAACAGAAACCCCAAAAACUAAAGAUUGGUUUAUUUAUUGAGAGAGAGAGAGAGAG